rnacentral:rRNA from 3 species
UUUUAAUUGAAGGCUUGUAUGAAGGGUUGGACAAAGGAUAAGCUGUCUUUAUUUUUGUUUUUGAAUUUAUCUUUUAAGUGAAAAGACUUAAAUUUUUUUAAGGGACGAUAAGACCCUAUAAAUCUUUAUAUUAAUAUAUUUUUAUUUUGGGUUUUGAUGUUUAUAUUAAUAAAUAUAUAAAGUAUUAUAUUGGGGUGAUAGGAAUAAUAAAAUAAACUGUUCUAAAUAAGAAACAAAUUUUUUUUGAUAGAAGUUAAGGAUCCUUUUUAUAGAUUAAAAGUUUAAGUUACUUUAGGGAUAACAGCGUUAUUUUUUUUGAGAGUUCUAAUCGAAAAAAAAGUUUGCGACCUCGAUGUUGAAUUAAAAUUUCUUUAUGGUGCAGCCGUUAUAAGAGAAAGUCUGUUCGACUUUUAAAAUUUUACGUGAUCU